rnacentral:lncRNA from 1 species
GGACAGUGCACUAUGUGGAUGAAAAGGGCAAGACUGCUCAGGUGGCAUCCACGGACAGCUCUAUCCAGACCCUGUUCUACAUUGAGAAGAGAGAGGCACUGGUUGUGGUCACACAGAACCUUCUCCUGUCUCUGUAUGUGGUGAAUCCUGAGGGGGAAGCUGAAGAAGUCAUGAAGGUUCUGGGACUUAGAACGGGGAGAGAAUUACAUACUGAGUCUACAGGAGAAGUUUGGCUUUGAAAAGGGAGAGAAUAUAAACUCUGUGUGUUACUGUAAAGCCAAAGGUCUCCUGGCAGCUGGUACCCAUAAAGGACGAGUAGCCAUGUGGAAGAAAGUGCCAGUGUCCCCAAGUGGCCGUGGGGCGGAGGGCAAGGAUAUGUGGGCCCUUCAGACACCUACUGAGCUUGAAGGAAACAUCACACAGAUAAAGGUGCAGCGUUCAGAUCCGUAUCACACUUGACGCACUCACUGUCUACUGUACCAAAGAGACCACAACUAACUCGGAGCAUGUUUUCAUCACCCAGUUACAUCAGAAGAAUAACACCAACAAGAAAUUAGGAAGAUAUGUUCCUAGUACUUAGGAACUGAGCCAGAUCUUGAGUUCAAAAAACGAUUAGCCCAGGUUAUAUGCUAAGACCCUGUCUCAAAAGAAAAGAAAAGAAUAAAUUUUAAAUGUCCUUUGAUUUCA